rnacentral:pre_miRNA from 1 species
AGUAAAAUUGCUGGGUUAUACGGUAACUAUGUUUAAUUUUUUAAGGAACUACCAAACUAUUUUCCCAAGUGGCUGUACCAUUUUACAUUCCCACCAGCAAU